rnacentral:tRNA from 1 species
GGCGAAGUGCCAGAGUGGUUAAUGGGUGUGCCUCGAAUUACCUCUGUAUUUCAGAGCCUUUGUAGCACAUGGCUUCGGUCGCGCAAGUUCGAAUCUUGUCUUCGUCG